rnacentral:tRNA from 1 species
GCCUUCGUGGUAUAACUGUUAAUACACUUGGCACGUAUUCGAGAGGCCCAGGUUCGAGUCCCGGCGAGGGCA